UGGGGGAUCGUUCAAUGGUAGGACACAUGGUUUUGGUCCAUGCGAUCGGGGUUCGACUCCCUGUCCCCCAG
rnacentral:tRNA from 1 species